UGCCCUUCGACGGCUUUUCUGCCGUCAACUCGGAAGACUCGUCAAUUGACCCUUCCGCUACUCGGCUCCGUCUUGUUUCCCUGCUGCCGAAGGUAAUGCUACAGCAAGAAGAACGACGAGCACCGGUAGAAAGAAGGCGGCAAAGAUCUGUCAGAACUCCUGUCAGGAGGCACUCGGACGCCCAUACCCUAUAUGAUUCGAUUUCUUGAGACUCGCACGGAACGGAGAUGAGAAGGCUCUCAAGGAGGCAGAUUGAGGUACAGACUUCGUUGACUUCAAGCUCAGGAGAUCCCUCUCAGCUCAGAAGAAGUUGCUGGAGUUUGAGCUGCAGCUCCAUGUUUCUUCAGUUUCUCUCUACGGAACUUGGCAUAGUCCGAGAUCAGGCCGACAUCCACUUCGUGCUUCAUCUUCUUUAACAGGCUCCUCAGAAGCUGCAGCAUCCAAGCUAACAUUGUCAAACCUUUUAGCCCUUGUCAAUCCAUCAAAAUCCUAAGGAGCAUUGAAUUAUUGGCUUUGCAGUCAUCGAUCUUACUGUAUCAGCAAUACUUCUGAGGACACCUUCUGGGACUAGUUGAAGGACCGGAGGAAGGAUCAUGCUGAUGCCCAUCUCCAGAUGACCCAUGAGCCUCCUGCUGCUGCUGCUCCGAUCUGGAUACAGCACUCCCUGGACACUGAGAGCAAAAUGUGGUGGCAUCUGGAUGUCCUGCAGGCCUUGGAGCUCCCACCUGGUCUGCAAGCACACGUCGGACGCUUGAGAUGAUUCCGAGAACAAAUGGUACUUAGUUGAGACCGCAGAUGAAUGAUCCAACUAAUUACAGCUUGAAGCACCAGGACACUGGUGGCAUGUCCAGGGACACCGGGCGGGUAAUCUUCCCCACUGGAUUUGUGUCUCAGCCGCAUGACGACAACCGGGUUCGCCGAUGCAAAGAGGAAGUGGAUCGGCAGCAUCUGUAUCCUCCACUCUUCCUGCAAUGAGCCAGUUGUUACAGUUGGUGCAGAAGGACGGAAACAGAGACGAAAAGGGCUCACAUCAUUCAGUCUCUUGCUUCUUCGUUUGUCUGGAAACAUGGCUCGGAAGACUCGAGGUCGAUCGCAGAGGUAUUCAUCAAAGGAGACCUGCAUUGUAAGUGCUUCUGGUGAGAAAAAUCACUGCCAAUUCAUCUGAAAGUUGAAGCCGAGUGAUGAAACAGGAUCUGUUCGCUCGAUGUUCUUGAUACACAGACUGAGAAGGAGAUGCCUGCCCCGGGAGUUUCGUGGAGGGGAAUGUCGGUGGAGAUGUUGGAGGAGAAGGUGACGACGCCGGGCCGGGAAUCGAAGCCACUGAUGUUGGCGUCAUUGGCUGAGCUCCUGGCUGCAGUUGGAAGGGGUGGAGGAUGAGACCAGUGAUGCAAUCUGUGCUUCUUGGUGCUGGCCAUCUCUUCCUUCCUCUUCGGCCAUCUCCAAAUGGCAGCGUCUCUUCUACUACCUGCAGCUGUUUUGAAGCAGUAGCAUAUAUCAUAUGGUCCACUGUGGGCAUCGAAGCUGAGGCACGGGUCUGGGCAGCAGCUUUACCUCCUCCACGGACAAGGGGAAGUCUGCUGAGGCUGGAAGAUCCACCAGCUGCUGCAACCUCAACCAUCCCUUCUCUGUCUUUCUCCCUCUCUCUAGGUCUCAAAGAAGGCAAAUUUAUCAUGUCCCAGCGAAAGCUAUCUGUAAGAGCAUAGAUUGGGAAGAAAAGGACCAAUGAGAUGUGAGGUUUGAGAUUUUGUCAGAUUUCAA